CCAAACUGGUUUCUUCAGCCAAAUUGGCAUAUGAUUCUCCAAGUCUCCGAAAGCAAAAUCAUAUGGUAACAAAAACAUAACAUCAACUACCAUCAUAUAACAGAGAACAGUCAGAUAGUUGGGAGAUGCAUCAAACGAGUAACUAGUUCAGAACAGAGGCUUCACAAAACAUGCACCAGAUCAUUGCUAUUUCAGAUCGAUCAGUCACAUGACACGGUAACAUCACCAACCCAACUACUCCCUCCGUUCCGAAUUACUCCCUCCGUCUAAAAAUACUUGUCAUUAAAAUGGAUAAAAAGAGAUGUAUCUACGACUAAAAUACAUCUAGAUACAUCCCCUUUUAUCCAUUUUGAUGACAAGUAUUUUCGGACGGAGGAAGUACUUGUCUUGGAUUUGUCCAGAUACGGAUGUAUCUAGACUCAUUUUAGUGCUAGAUACAUCCGUAUUAGACAAAUCUAAGACAAGUAAUUUGGAACGGAGGGAGUACAAACUAGACAAUUUUCCACCGAUUUCCAUUGAGCAACACUAAUUCUGGGCAAACAGCACCGAACUACAGUUGCCAGAGACUGAAUCUAAGAGGAGGUG
rnacentral:lncRNA from 1 species